UCUAGCUCACCUCUGUUUUCUAUAUUUUCCUUCAGUUUUUACUACCUCACCUCUGUUUUUUAUACCUUACUUCAGUCUUCUGUACCCUACUUACAUUUUCACUACCUCACUUCUGUUUUUUCAUAAAUCACUUACUUUUCCUGUGAUUUACUUUGAUUUUCUCUACCUCACUUCUGUUUUCUGUACCUCACUUUUGUUUUCUGUACCUCAUUUCCGUUUUCUGUACCUCAUUUCCGUUUUCUGUACCUCAUGUUUUCACUACCUCACUUCUGUUUUUCUUAACUUACUUCCGUUUUCUGUACCUCACUUCCAUUUUCUGAACUUCACUUCCAUUUCCCUUACAUCAUUUUUAUCCUCUGUACCUCACUUCUGUUUUCCAUAACUCACUUCCGUUUCCUGUGACUUACUUCCGUUUUCUAUACCUCACUUCCGUUUUCUGUAUCUCACUUCCGCAAUGGUCCCCACCUUGCCUGGAGACCAAGCUUUCUUUGCAGGCCUCAUCAAGUGUGCUUGUGGCUUCAUCAAUACAAUCAGGUGCCUCUGGGGGACAGGUUGAAAGUCACACCAAGUCUGCUGGUUCUACACUAGCAGAGAUGAAGUUUGGGUUGACAGAUUCCCAGUGAGAAUGCCAGCAUCUGCUCUUCAACAUCCCAUGGCUGACCAGCUCCUUUACCUGCUAUAUUUUAAAUUUGGAAGCAAUUAAUUUGGAGGAGGAAAGAGUCUAAGUAAGAUGCCUAACAGAUCUUGGUGCGUUGACAACCUUGAAACUUGAUGUUAAUGGACAGGUACAAAGAUGAAGAUGAGCUGAACAGUCUUAGUGGUUGAAGCUGCUGCAUGUAAGAUAAGCAUGUUAAAUCCAUGCCAUGUAUACUGCAAAUCCCAAUCCUGUGCACAAAGCAGGCAUUGCUAAGAAGACCCUGCUGUAUUUAAAAAGCCUAGAUGCACUGAUAGAACCCUCAACACAGGACUCCAGCCAUGGACUACCAUUGGUUCAGAGCUGCCAGUCCAGUAGUAGCUUAUGCAUCACCUACGGUAGAGUGGAAACUCUCCUGCACACGCCAGUCACUCCAAGGGCACUUUAAUUAAAACCACACAAAAUUUUUGUAGAUAACAAUAAACUUGAUUAUGGAUAAAUCAUGAAAUCAAUAAAUAUAGAGUUCCUGGUACUCACCACCACCACCCCUUCUCUAAUUUUUUUUCAAAUUCAGGUAAUCUCUAUACCUUUUGCUUAAAAAAGAAAAGACAAGAAAAUAAAAUUUUACCUUACAAUUCUAACCAUCCUGAAAAGUUUUUGUGGCCUGGGUUAGACAUGGGAAGGGGUUAGGAAGUUCUCAGUAAGAACAAAAGAAGCAAUUAUGCAGGUCAAUAUACAAUGCAUUGAUGACCUAGGUGUGUGGUGGAUGUAGGAGAUGGAAUUCAGCCAGGUGCAUAUUUUCCUGUAAGAGCCUCGAAUGAGUGUGGGAUGAAUAAGAGGAUGAAGGAAUGGUAUAUGUACACACACAGCAAUUUCUCAAUAAUGGAUUUUGCAGACAUAAAUGUCAUCUAGCUUUUAUCGUUUGGUAUAAAAUCUCAAAGGCCUUAGCAAAACAAUAAACUUCAAUUAGCUUGAUUGUGAAUUUUUAUGAUUUCUUAAUCUAUUAACUUCUCAUUGCUAAUGUUACGGCAGUAAUUUUGGAAUAACCUG
rnacentral:lncRNA from 1 species